rnacentral:rRNA from 1 species
CGUGGCGUGAGUCGUCUGCUUAAUUGCGAUAACGAGCGAGACUCCGACUGCUAAAUACUGUCUGGAUAAUUUCGUCCUUCACAGUUCUUAGCUGGAUUCGAGACUCCAAGUCUCAAGAAAUGGAGCAAUAACAGGUCUGUGAUGCCCUUAGAUGUUCGGGGCCGCACGCGUGCUACAAUGAUGGUAACAGCGUGAUUGUCCUCGCUCGACAGAGCUUGGCAAACAGUUGAGAUAUUAUUAUGGCUGGAAUUGAGGCUUGCAAUUUUUCCCCAUGAACGAGGAAUUCCCAGUAGGCGCGAGUCAUAAGCUCGCGUUGAUUACGUCCCUGCCCUUUGUAC